CAUCUAAAAUAAUACAAAAUAAAACUGUUAUCCUUUCCAUUAUCAAUAAAUUUUCUAUAUAAAGAUUAUCAAAUCAUAUCAUCUAUCAUAAAUUUUUAACUCAAAAAAAAAUCAAUAUUGCUGACUAGCUCAAACAAUCCAGAUCACCGUACUUAUGCUGUGCACUCUGAUCUAAACCAUCAAAAUUUCUCUGAAUGUAAUAAAUAACUUUCAAUCAAAAUAUUACUUUAUAUUUAGAAGAUCCAAAAUUUUUAAUUUCCGUGUC
rnacentral:lncRNA from 1 species